UGGAGUAGGGACGAAACGGACACCUGACGCCCAGGAGGAGCUAGCAGGCCGGAAACAGGGAAGAGGUGACGUCAGAGUGCUGGCGUGGCCUGGGCCAUUUCCAACGGGAUCUUAAAGCGGCGUGCUGCACGCGGUAGGGGUGGAGUCUAGGCCGAUUUUCCCGCGCUUCAUUGCCCCGCCCCCUGGAGGCGGGGGAAGGGGAGGGAAUAUUCUGAAAACUUGCCCUGACAUUCUCAUCAGCACGCAGAAUUUCAGAAGUCGUCUGCGAACCACCGCUCCUCAAACAAUACCCCGGCGGCGAGCCUCUGCAGCCUGCAGCGCACCCAGCCCCUCACAGCAGGCACGUGGGUAUUAAAAGUGGUUCUGUUACCCUGCCCUGGGGUCACUGGACCUCUGUACCCAGGAUACUCCGUAUGCCCUGAAAGUUGUGGGGAUAAUAGCAACUGUACUGAGGUGUGAAGUGGCACUUCUGGAUGGGACUCUUGGGGCCACCACUUACCAUAUGGUUCCCUUGGGCAAGUCACUCAACCUCCCUGAACCAGUUUUCUCAUGGGUAAAAUUGGCAUUGUAAUAACUAUUGACGUUGUUUUGUGAGGAUUAGAAGCGUUUAUAAUGUAAAAGUGCUUUGUAAAGUGAUGGACAAGUGGAAUUAGUAUCCCGCACUCCGCCACCUUCUUUUUCUUGGUUGCCUGCAGUUGCUGCAGCUCACAGCGCUCUUCCAUCACUGAGCAACUAACUAGAGUCGCAUAUCGGAUGUAGCCAACCCGCAGUCCAUUCCCACCUCCUUCUUAGUCUUUCUGUAUGGAAUAAUAAUUACUACUGCUAUACACUA